CAGAACACAAUUUCCAAGCACUAGAAUGAGCAAAAGCUACGUUUUAUUAGAAUGCACUCUUUCCAGAAGGAUUUAUUGGCCUUGCUUUUUUCAGGAACACUUAAUGAGAGGGAGGAAAGCAGGUGGGUAGCACAGAAACUAGAUGGCACAGGUAGGCGGCUUGCUGACUUUCUCUGGUUAUUCUCAAAGGCAAUCAUUUCACAGCUGUCAGAGUUACAGUGUUUGGGAGCUGCCCCAUGUUCCCACAUGCUAAGAACUCAAGGAGCAGCCCAGUGAGCACAGCUGCAACUCUCUGCCAUCAUUCAGAAGUAAACAUCCUUCAGAAGGAACUGUACUCGCUUUUUCUAGAUGCAAACAACUCACCAAAGAAUCUGAAGGUGGUAACAAGAUGCUACCUGAUAGAUUCUGCCUGCUACUGCCUGUGGUUCCCUUUUAGGGGCUUUUAGAAAUCCAGGCAACACCUCCAGUUAGGAGCCAUAAGGCACAUCGCUGGGAUCUGACUUGUAGAACAAUGUGUGUGAACCAGAAGACAUUUCUUCAGCUGAGCUCCCUGGGAACCAUGACCAUCUCAAUUUUGCAGCUUGCUGUGCUCAGUCACAAACAUCGCCGCAAUACCAUCCUUCCUUCAUUUGAGAGGCCCACACACAAAUAUCAAAGUGAGCUAAUGUGCGGGGGAGGAAUAUUUCUCCCUAAUUUUCCAAAGUGGUUUUCAGGGAUUCUCACACACGCAUAUCCUCGCAGUGGGAAUGAAGUGUACAACACCCUUUAACGUUAGAGUUUUAAGGCCUCCUUUAGCUGAACAUCAGCUAAUUAUUGUGGAAUCCGUGCAAAUGGCAUCUCAAAUACCUCUCUCAUACUCGUUAAUUUUCUGUACUCACUAAGACAUUCACUAUUCAUACAGAUGAUGAAUGCCCUGCCUAGGCUAUGCUAAUAACACUUCCCUUAGUAUCUGCGAAUGGGCCCAUAAAAAGGGGCAGGUUUCUAUUCAACCAAGUCGGGGACCAGAGGAUGCUUUCGGGUCCUUGUGCCCCCUCCACUUCCCCACAGCACACCUUUAAGCUAUUCCUCCCACACUAUUAAUCUCCCAGGCUUUGGUGUGACUAAUUGCAAAUGGCAGGAGAGAUUGGGCUUAAUAAGCAGGAGUGUUGGAACAUUUCCUUCCAAAGUGCCCUCCUUUGUUCAAAGUGUGUCACCCUGUCAGGAGAAGCACUUUUUCACAUGGCAUCAAGAAGAACAAAAAUAAGGUCGGGUCGUCACCUUUGUCGUGGACGAAAAUUAGCAUGCAAGAGGAAAUGCAGAGGCAGCCGCCGUGGGAGCUAGGUGAGGUGGGCGGUGGGUGAGCCAUCACACCCCUGCCAUUCCCUCCCAGCCCAGGGCAAGAAAGCAGGCUUCCAGAUGAAGCCCCAGUGGAAAAUCUGCCUCUCUUCCAGCAGAUUUCAAGCUCACUGUUUCCUUUCCCUUUGUCUCUGUGCCCUUUCCCCACCACUGGAGUAUCCAACGUUUUCCAUAUAGAAUAACUAACAAUAAUGUGGUUCCCGGUGGACUUCACAAGCUGACUGCAAUUUAUUCAUUUUCUGAGCUAAAUUUUGCCUUGGACAGGGGUGAGCUGCCUGCAUGUACAGACAGCCAGACCUAGUGACACUAUCCCAUCUUCCAGUCCCCUCCUAGUGCUUGAUAUCUAUUACCAGAGGAGGAUUUAAUCAACAAUCCUCUAAUAGCUUCUUUUAAUUAAUAGUCAGCUGGAUAGAAGCUGGAUUGGCCAGACAGGA
ensembl:lncRNA